AUUGAACGCUGGCGGCAUGCCUCACACAUGCAAGUCGAACGGUAACAGGUCUUCGGAUGCUGACGAGUGGCGAACGGGUGAGUAAUACAUCGGAACGUGCCUAUUAGUGGGGGAUAACUACUCGAAAGAGUGGCUAAUACCGCAUGAGAUCUACGGAUGAAAGCAGGGGAUCGCAAGACCUUGUGCUACUAGAGCGGCCGAUGGCAGAUUAGGUAGUUGGUGGGAUAAAAGCUUACCAAGCCGAUGAUCUGUAGCUGGUCUGAGAGGACGAUCAGCCACACUGGGACUGAGACACGGCCCAGACUCCUACGGGAGGCAGCAGUGGGGAAUUUUGGACAAUGGGCGAAAGCCUGAUCCAGCAAUGCCGCGUGCAGGAUGAAGGCCUUCGGGUUGUAAACUGCUUUUGUACGGAACGAAAAGCCCUGGGUUAAUACCCUGGGGUCAUGACGGUACCGUAAGAAUAAGCACCGGCUAACUACGUGCCAGCAGCCGCCGUAA
rnacentral:rRNA from 1 species